GUGAGAAUAAGCUGGUGCAAACCUUGGCCCUACACAGCCUCUCUGGGGGCAAGGAGGGCUGCUGCAGGCAAGAGCCAUGAAUCAGCCUGGGUGCAGCCUCUCUGCUCUGGCUGCUGCUGCAGAUCCAUAGAGGAAGGAUGGCUUAGCUCAGCAAGUGCUUUCCUUCCUCCUCUUGCCACUCCAGACUGGACCGUCACAUCCCACAGGAAUGCGCACUGGGGAAAGUACAGAAUGGCCCAUGUCAAGGUGGAGCAGAUGAGCCGUCAAUGGUUGCUAAAGCAGGGAGCAUUAUGUUCUCUGCCCUCCAAGGGGAUGGUGGGGGCACACGUCUUGAAAGACAGCUAAGCCACCACCAAGAGUGCAAGGAAGAGGCACUACUAUCUCAAAAGGGGCUUGAGGACCCAAAGGAGGAACCCUGUUUUUCUCAUACCUGGGCAACACACAAUUGCAGAAUCUGCCCCAAAUUCUAUCUACAUUGUGACAUAAGACAUGAAAGCAGCGGGGAGGAAAGCCUGGGAAGGGGGAUAGAUGGCGAGCUGUGGGGCGUCAUCUCCCAGGCAGGCGCUCUGCUUCUCAGAAUGGAGACGGAAAUCGUGAACGCUACGCAGACCCACGGGUGAAGAGAGAACCCACUACACCCUUCGGUUGCAAACUGAUGUGCAGGCGUGAGCUUCCCAGAAACAUCUGUUGUCAGUAGCUGGAGGUCAACCUGGAGUCUUAAGAACCUCAAAACAGCAUCAUGGAACUCAUAGGCAGUGAGGGAUUCAAACUUUUUCAAAGCUCAUGAGCACAUGAGUCUUGAGAGUGAGACCAGUUAUUUGGCAGUUUGCUCUCAGUUCUAUUUUUUGUAUUUUGUAUCUAUUUUUAUAUCUCUUGGCAACUGCUCCCUGGAGCUGGUGUUGUAGCUAGAAUGCGCUGGCUCAGUAGGGAGCUUUCCAAACUCCACCCCUUGUGUCAAUAGCGCUCCCUCUAGAGACCUUCCUUGUCCUUCUCUUGGGGCACAGGUUUUGUGUCUUGAGAUAGGGUCUUGCCUAGUUGCCUCAAACUCUUGAUCCUCCUGCCUCAGCCUCCAAAUAGCUGGAUUUACAGGUGUGUGCCAGUACGCCCAGUCUGAGGCAAAGGCUUAAUCCCAGCUCACUUUCACUUGGCCCCCUUCAGCAACCCAGGCAAAUGCAGCUGGGCGUGCGAGAUGACCCACACCAUGGAACCUUAGUCAGAGAGGAGAGGCUGACCUGUUUAUUCUGAGGCUUUAAUAAGGCACAUUCUCAAUUUCACCCUUGCCUGAGCCCUAGACAGCCUGCACUGACAGAGAACCGGAGGCUCGGGUUAUCCUUUGGUCCAGCACACAUGACCAGGCAGAGGCAGGGCAGAAUUAGAACCCAGGCCUUCAAGACUAAUACCUCUGGCAAACCAGGCCUGCUCAAGGCCAGUUGAGGUAGAAAAUGGACAAGGAAGAAGUGCUCUUUUAUGUCGAGUGAGACCCCACCCUUGGGUCACUAGAAGUAGGAAAGCCCAGGUAGAGGGAUCUGCCCAGAUGACCUGCCCAUGUCCCUGGCUCUUUGGGUCCUGUGUAGGCUGCUUUAGAAGGGGAAACAACAGAGGACCACAGAGCUCCUUAAGCAACCCCAUCCCCAUGUUCUCCCUGCCAGCUCUGAGUAGUCACCUUGAUCACACCCAGGCCUUUUCUGCACUCUGUUGCUGACAGGUCCCAUGGUCUACCGGAAGUGCUCUCAAGUGUCAGGAGCAACCUGGGGCUUUCUGCAUGGUGCCGCGCAGUCCUCACAAUGGCCGCGUGUGACAGGCACUGGACACCAUCUCCCCACUGCUUCUCAGGGACAGGGCUGAGGCAGCAGUCACGCCCUCUUCUGCUGGAACACUAAACCUUGAGUAGCUGAGCUGGGAAACAGACUAAACCCUCUGCCUAUCUCCUCCAGCUCAGCCAAGGUGGUUCCUGUGGGUGCUCAUUUCACAUAUUCUCAGAAACCUGAGAACUGGGGACUUGGACCUCAUUGCUCCCAAGCAACACUGACAGAGGGUAGAAGUCGUGGGCAGCUACAGAACACAGACCUCACACCCGGGAGCAGUGCCACCAGGGACACAGGUCUCCCGAAGUACAGCUGCAACCAUCCCGGGAGGAAAGUAGCUAUUCUAGGGCCUAGACCAAGCCUGACAGGCUGAUAAGGCCUACGGAGCUUCAAGGGAACGGGUCAUCUAGAUGAGCCCCAGGCCCACCCCUACCCCAGCUCAGCCACAAGAGCGCGUCCUGAAGAGGCUGGGCCCAUCAGCCCGAACGACUGGGCCCAGCCAUCAUCUAGGAGAUGGAGUGAAUUCUGAAGUCGCCUGUGCCUGGCAGAGACCGAGUGGGUGAAAUGUGUGUGCACAGCCCUCUCCUGGGCUGUGUAACCAGAGGAAGAAGAACACACAGGCCUUUUCCUCGGUGCGAAGAACCUGCCACUAAUGUUAUGACAGCAGUUCCGCAGGUUCACAGCGGAUCGUACUAUGAAAAUAGAGAUGCUAAGUGAGAAGACACUGAGAGGACUGUAAAGGGAAAGGUUUUGCUCCUUAAACCAAAACCUUUAAAAAGCCAAAUGUGAUCAGUGCACAAAUGAAUGUCAAAAAUUCCAGUCCAGACUUGUGGCUUUGUCCACUGCAUCUCAGGAAAGGGACUGAAUUCUCCAGGGAUGAGUGAGCACCUUUGGAGGUGGCUGCCAACAGUCUGUUUCUCCAGUAAGGAAGACUGCAGAAAUGUGAUGAGGGAGCUGAUAGCGUUUUGGGUCCACAGUUUGGAAUGCUGAAGUCAAGUCUGGCAGCCUCCACCUUCCAGAUGGGUUGCCGGGGGCGGGGCUGCCGGGAACCUGAACAGCGCAAGUGUGAGAGCGCAGUGGUGCCCGCCAGUUGUCACAUGGAGGCGAAGUGCAGUGCUGAAAGUGGCUGGGGCUUCAGAACGCUUGGUAUUUUCUAGUAAAGACCAUGCUAUGCAAUAGGCAGGUAUCUUACCCUUUCAGUUAAAGACAGUAAGAGCUUUUUAAAAAAAAAUGACUAACGAGGUUAAAACCAGGGCCCGCAUUCUCUGUGUGCCUGACAGCACAGGGAGCUGAGCAGACCUGAGCUGUGAUCCCAGCCCUGCUCUUCCCUAGCUGAGCGCCCCAGGUAAGCUGGGCUUUCUCUUUAAAAAGCCUCCACUUCCUCCAGUGCAGAAUGAGAUGACAGUUGUAGAAGCUGCUGCCUGAGAUAACAAACAGCAAGACACUGUGAUAGGACGAAGGGUAAUAAUAAGGCAGGUCAAACACGAAAGCUCUCAGCUUACAGACAGGAAAGUUUCUUCACUGGGUUUCUUAAAUAGUGGGGUAACAUCCUUCACAAGUUAUCCUUCGCAACUUGAUCGCUAGUGCACUGUUGGUGCUGACACCAUCACUGAGAGCCGAGGGCCUGCUCUGGUGCCACAGCACGUCCUGCUCACUCGGUCUGGCGAGACCCACCGCAGCAGGCACCGCCAGAGCGCAGAGACAGGCACAUCCGGACGUGCACCUCAGCAACCGACGAGGACAGCCAGCGCUGUCCAGAUGAGUUCAUAAGAUGAAAGAUGUGCAGAUACUUUUAUGUAAGACAGUUCAUUUUACUUUUAAAAAUCUGAGGCAAGAAAUAAGGAUUUCCUGGCAAAGGAACGAAGUAAGCCUCCAAAUGGAACCUCAAACAGUUCACUGGGCUAAUGCCCACUUCCCCUGCAUAGUCCUUAGCGAACAAUUUGUCAAGCCUCAAGGGAAAGAGACGCCUUAGAAACUAAACUUCAUAUUUACUUUGGAGCAGAAAGCACUUUUCCUUGUAUCAACCAGGAGACUUGGCAGAGGAAUGUAGGGCAAGAACUCGGAACAGGAUAAAACAGCAAUUCCUCUGCACACCAUUGCUCCACUAGAAGUCUUCCUGCACCAGUUCCUCAGACAGACCAGACCAGACCAGAGGUGUGAGCUGGGGAAGAUGUCACUGUAAAGAUGUGAUGGCAGGAAGGGGUGCACAAGCAUGAGAUGCCCCCAAGCACACUUGGGAAAUGGAUAAAAUGUUUUUCUGGUACUGAAGACCUGAUGUCAUGGGUACCAUUACUACAGCAGAAGGUAGGGAAGCAAUUUACUACAUCUGUAAUACAGCUUUUGGAAAAAUAAUAAUAGAGCUAUUAGGCUAGGUGGAAAAAAUCAAGGAGAAUAUGGAGAAAAAGCCUCGUGCCUAGUACAUAAUUAGGUGAUGUGCGACAUGUGACAAGGGUGUAAAGACCCCGAGGUAGGGAGAACCCUCCAGGGGCUGGUAAACAGCGCCUGGUCUUGCUCACAGUCCACUCAGGAGUGAGACACAGGAAACCAAGGCUGAGUGGUGAGGCUGACUGACCCGGAGCGUACCAUGCCUGACAUGCCCUAAAACCCUAGCCAUCUUGUUAUAGCUGUUCCUACUCAGGUGGAUGAAGACCGCACCUCAUUUACUGCCAAGCUUUGAAAGACACCGAUGUGAUCCUACACUGGAGGCUUUAACUCUAUAAUAAUUACAACACAGCAAAUGAAGAGGCAGAGUGCCGUAUCAUUAAGGGUUAUAGCAAGUAAGAGUGAGCAUGGACCACACUUAAAUACCCAUCAGACCCCAUGACGGUCUACAGAAGUAAUGCAACUACAAUUAAGAUCUCAACGAUUUUUUUUUAGAGAUGAAAUUCAAGGGAAGGUAAGAGAACUAAAGCAACUAAAACAAAAUUUUAUGGUAGUCAUUCAGUGGUAUCUGUAUUCCAACAUGUAGAUCAAAGAAACUGAAUAGAGAGUACAGUACAUAAUAAGCCCACACAAACAUGGAAACUGGUUUGACAAAUAUAUAAAAGCUAUUCAUGGAGAAAGGAUAGCCUACUGAUAUCAAAAAACUCAACAAAAACCAACCAUGUAAAACCUUACAUUUUUAUACAAAAAUAAUCCAAAGUCAUAGCUCUAAAUGUAAUAUAUAAAAUGAUAAAAGUUUCAGAAGAAAACAUAGAAUCUUCAGGACCUGGGGUUAGUUUCAUAUAAUCCACAAAAGAAAAAAAUUGAGUUGGGAAUAGUGGUGCAUGCCUAUAAUCUAGCUACUCGGGAAGCUGAGGCAGGAGGGUCACAGGUUAACAACCACCCUGGUCAGCAUGGCAAGUCUGUUUAAAAAAGGCUGGGGAUAUGUGGUACACGCACAUGCCUAGCAUGUGUGAGGCUCUGGGUUCAAUCCCCAGUACUGUUAUAAGACAAGCAGAACUUAAUAAAAAUUAGAAACUUUUGCUCUGUGAAAGAUACAGUUAAGAGGAUGAAAGACAGGCUAUAACCUGGGGGCAAAUAUUGCAAACUACUUGUAUUAGAACAUACAAAGAGCCUCAAAGCUCCACAGUAAGAAAAUAACUCAAUUUAAAAGUAAGUGUCUGAGCAAGUUGAGCAACAGAGCUUAUACCUGUAACCCCAGCAGAACAGGAAGCUGAAGCAGGAAAAUUGCAAGUUGAAGCCUAUCCCGGACAAUUUAGCAAGUUCCUGUCUCAGAAAAGGAGGGAAGGGUCUAGGAAUGCUGCUCAAUGCCAAGGCCUUGGGUUCAAUCCCUAGAACCACCAAAAAAAAAAAAAAAAAAAAAAAAAAA